GCCAGCAGCCAGGGUGCUCCGAACCAGUGGGACCCCUCCCGCUCUCGCUUCCGCUUCCUCCCACUCCUGUGCGCCCCCGGAUGCUCUGGGCGGAGGAGCUGAGAGCCGCGGAGUGCGCCGCCCGAGGCACGUAACCCCUUUUCCUAGCCACCUCCUCCUUGGCCGCCCCCCAGCGCCGGGGGCGUGGCCCAAAGGCGCGGGACUUUCCGCCGGGAUCCCCCUGCGCUGGUGACGUUUGCUGGCCGUGCCGGUGCGUUUCCCGCGCGGUUGUGAGUGCUGGGGUGACUGAGAGGGGCUGCGGCCGGCUCUGCACCUGCCGCGCGACCCUGUCGGCGGGUCCCCCCGAGGCUGAGCACCGUCUUUCCAGAACCCACCCGGAUUCAGCCCUUUCCAGUGAGCUUUAAACGCCAGCCCGGUUCAUUCAUUCAUUCGUUUGAUACUAACCUAGCGUCCACACAAGUGCUGAGGAUACUGCGUGGCCAAAAGCACCGCCAAGACAUUGCCCUCAAGGACCCGGCAUUCCAGUGAGGAAAGAUGAACAGAUAAAGUGUUUAUCAUGUGAGUACGCGGGCUUCUCACUGUUGUGGCCUCUCCCGUUGCGGAGCACAGGCUCCGGAAGCGCAGGCUCAGUGGCCAUGGCUCACGGGCCCAGCCGCUCCACGGCAUGUGGGAUCUUCCCGGACCAGGGCACGAACCCGUGUCCCCUGCAUCGGCAGGCGGAGUCUCAACCACUGAGCCACCAGGGAAGCCCCUAGAUUGACACCUUUGAAGCUCGAGAUUUAAAUGUACAAUUAAUUAUUAGAAAAUAACAGAUCAUUAAAAAUAAUAAACCCCAUAAUGCUAAUACCUAUAUCAAAGAUAACCAACACUUAUCAUCUGCAUCACAAAUGUAUGAGGUACGCACAACUCAACCCCAUUUGACAGGGGAGGAAAUGAGCCUUCAAGUCUGCUGUCCAGGGCUUCGCUGGUGGCACAGUAGUUAAGAAUUCGCCUGCCAAUGCAGGGGACACGGGUUCGCGCCCUGGUCUGGGAAGAUCCCACACGCCACAAAGCAACUAAGCCCGUGCGCCACAACUACUGAGCCUGCGCUCUAGAGCCCACGAGCCACAACUACUGAAGCCCACGUGCUUAGAGACUGUGCUCCGCAACAAGAGGAGCCACCGCGAUAAGCCCGUGCACCACAACGAAGAGUAGACUCCGCUCGCCACAAGUAGAGAAAACCCACGCAGCAAUGAAGACCCAACGCAGCCAAAAGUCCAUCUCAAACCAGAUUUGCUGACGUAGCCUUCCAAGGUGUGUCUCUGCCCGGAGUUUUUCAUCUCUCCAGUUCUUUCAAGAUAUGGUGAGCAACCUUCUACAGUAGAUUAUAUUCAUAAUUUCAUUCCUCUGCUUAAAACUUUUUGUGGCUCUUCACAGCUCAUGGAUGGGGUGCUGUAUUUAGGAUUAUGGCCAGCUAUGAAUGACAGAAAGCCCCAAUAACGAUGGCUAAAACAAGACAGAAGUUUAUUUCUCUCAUAUGAAGUUCUAGAGAUAAGUAUUCCAGUUCUCACAUGUAGAGCCAGGAUGUCAGGGACUCGGGUUCCUUCUAUCUUGUUGCUCUACCAUGCUUGGCUUCCAUGUUUGAGCUUACCUCAUGGCCCAAGAGCAUGACUGCUCCGGUUCUAGUCAUUAUGUUCCUAUGUCUUAUUCUGUUCAGGCUGCUAUAACAAAAGUACCAUGUGGGCUUCCCUGGUGGUGCAGUGGUUGAGAGUCCACCUGCCGAUGCAGGGGACACGGGUUCGUGCCCCGGUCCGGGAAGAUCCCACAUGCCGCGGAGCGGCGAGGCCCGUGAGCCAUGGCCGCUGAGCCUGUGCGUCCGGAGCCUGUGCUCUGCGGCGGGAGAGGCUGCAGCAAGUGAGAGGCCCGCGUACCGCAAGAAAAAAUUAAAAAAUAAACAAAGAUUUAAUUAAAUUAUUAUCUUGUCCCAUAAUCUUCAAUGGGUCCCUAUUACUUACAUAUUAGGUCCAAACGCUUUUACUGAACACAGUAUUAAAAUCCUUCAUAAUACCAUUUCAACUUGUUCUCCCUCUUCUUCCCUACCCUACUUUAUCCCUUUCAACUGGCCAUUCUCUGAAUAUACCAUGACCUUUCCAUUCUCUAUGGUUUUUCCCAUGACAGACCUUCCACCAGAAUGAUCUCCUAAAAGCCCAGCACCAACUUUUGAAAUGCUGCACAGACAUCCAAACCUCUUCCAAAUUAUAUUUCUUUAUAAAGUCAUUUUUCACCACUUCUACUAAAAAUAACCUACCAGUUCUCUGAAUAGUUGCUGUUUUUAUGCUGCAUUCCUUUAUAAUAAAUUGUAAAAUGUUCAUAUUCGUAGCAACAAUUAUAUUGUAAAUUACAUAGUACCCACUACAUGUUCCUCACCUUUGUAGUACUGGGAACACCUAAUCUCUGAAUUUUUACCUAAGAGCUGCAUAAUACAUAUUCAUUAAAUGAGAUUGGUAUAUAAGCACUAAAUUUACAGAAAGAAGGAGAAAAACCUCAAGCAGCUCACUUUGGAUGAGGCACUCAUUCAAAUUGGAUUAAAGGCUUUAUCAACAAUCCAGUAUUAAUUCUGUCUAAGUCUAUAUGUGCUCAUUUGAAAUUGUUUUGAGUGAUUUGUGUUAAUAAUACAAAGCUGAAUAUGGAUUUGCAUCGGGAAGAACAACUAGUAAGAGCUAUUUUCAGCUCUAACAGGGAAGUGACAGUUUUUCAAUUUUUAGCAUAAGUGUUAUAACUUAUCUCAGUCAAACACUUGCUAGGUCAUUUAGUAGGUCACUUAUGUUACUUAACUUUCUAUUUUAAUCUCUCAGGCCUAUUCAGAAAUAGGAAGAAAAGAAAAUUAUAGUUUUGAGUGCUACUAAUUUUUUUGUGACAGAGAGUUGAAAUGAAAAUAGUUUCAACGUUGAAUUGUCUGUAUGUUAAAAUAGGACUACAAAUUCUAUUUCAUAUUAAUCAUUUGUCCAUGUUGGCCAUGUUGGCUCUUUAAUAGGUUAAGACAGGAAAAAUAUGGCUAUAUUUGUUAAAAUAAACAAACUCCAAAUUUAAGAUUAAUAAAUUAUUUGAAAAUAAACCCCACAUUGGCUUUAUAAGGACACCUCUUCCUAAGAAAUGGGAUUUCAUAUUAACCCUUUUGUAAUUUUAUGUUAUUUGUCCCUCUGUCUAUCCCACAUCUGACUUCUUUUUGUGGCCAUAGUUCUUGUUUCUGAUCUGAUUAAAACUAUUUCAUGCACUUGUAUUACCUUGGUUUUAAGGGAGGACUGGGACACCCGUCAGAGCUCAGGAUUACACAUCACUCCAGCAGAAUCCUAAGCUAGAAAAGAAGGCUUAGGUAAGUAUAUGGAUGGAAUGAAAAUAAACCAUAAGGCUAAUAUUUUUAGCUCUAAUUCUAUCCAAUGUUGAGUCAUUUUUUGAUACAAGGAAAGUCAGUUAUCUUUCUAGGGCAGGGGAAAACAAAAGAAAAGACAAAUCAUUCAGCCAGUGACUCAUGGAAUCAUCUAGGUACAAAACAAAGCAUUACAAAAACAACAAACCAGUAUCUUUUCGCAAAGGUUAGUUUUGAACACUAGAUACUCUAGGUUUUUGGUUCCUCUACUCACUUUGAAUAAAUAGUUGCCAUUUUGGAAUUUAAUUAAAAAAAAACAGAUUUUGACAGAGAGUUUAUCAUUAAAUGAAAGAAUUUGGGAGGGUGUGUCUGGGAGCUAGAGUGUUCCUUAAACUGACAGUAAUUAAAAUGUGUAUUUAGGGUGCCUCCUUGGUGACAUAGGGGCUCGAGUUUACGACACUGAAUUGGGGAGGAUGAAUGGAAUAAUGGGUGGAAUAAUGGGAGUAAAGCUUUGCACACCCAGCUGAAUGUUCUCGACAGGCUAGAGCUGUAACCAAGCUUCCCCAGGCUUCAUCAACCUGAAGCUGAGGAGGGGGCCUGGAGAAUUUCUGAGAGUUCCCAGAGGGUUCACACAUGUACUCACGCAUGUCCACACCUGUCACCUGCUGCCACAGUCCUGCAGAGUCACAGUGCUAUCUAUUGACAAGUCUUCCCAGCACAGUUGUCUACCAUCACACUGGAGGCAGUGAAGCCCUUAAGAUGACAAAGCUGUUGAUCUUCUGCUGUGAAGUGGGAAGUAGCUGCCCUGAUCCCCACCCCCAUUCACAUGCAAGACUUUGUUAGAUGAGUCCCUAAGUUGUGCUCCUUGUUUCCAGUAUAUUAGAGAUUUUAGUAAAAUACCCAUUUGUUUUUCCUUAUUGCCCCCAGUCUUUGCAGGUCUCCGACUUGGGCAGGCUCAUCAUGCCUGAUUCAUGUCCCAGGGCUUCUCAGCUCCAAGACAGAGAGGAAAGGACUUCCGAUAGGUCACCUCCCCAACUUCCACACAUUUAAACCAGUCAGAACAUCCACAGCCUAGCAGAGUGCUGACACGUGAAUGAAGAGCCCUAAAUGUUUGUCAGGGAGUAAAUGACCAAAUGAAUCUUAAUAACAACCACAAUUUGAAUCUUCUCCCACAAUGCUUUUUAAUCUACAUGCAAACAGGCUACUGGCAGACUUUGUCAACCCUUUUCCCCAGACAUCCUGGCUUGUCCAAAUUCCACUUAGAUUCAAGCUGCCUAUCAUUUAAUUUCAUUUUAUUUCCCAAAUAAAUCCAUGAACUAAGUAUUGAUAUCCCUAUUUUAUAAAGGAAACUAAUGUGCAGAAGUUUCAGGAUCUGCCCCCCCCCCCACCAGAUCACUUUUAUCACAUCCUUGUAUCCAUCCCCCAGCUGCUCUAGGCAUUGGCUGCUAUCAACUUUUGAAGAAGUGCUUUCUUCUCCGGGGAAUUGCCCCAUAUUGAAUAGGAGCCGCCUUGCCCUUGGUGCAGACCACAGCUAGUGACUAACACUGGGAUACUAAAUACUGAGCUCCCUGUCUCAAGAAGGGACCAACUCUGAGGUGCAAUUAAUGCUCCAGAGUUCCCACUGAAUCGAUGUCAUUAAGAAGUUCAGUGGUGACUCUCUUCUGUAGGCUGGAAUUGAUGAAAGAUUCUGUUAUAGAACUAGGAUCCCUAAUAGCCAUGGAGAUGAUAGGAUUCCCAGAAGAGAAGAAGCCAUAUGGUAGCCCUUUACCACCAAAAUCAACAUGGGUAUAAUGUUCUUAAUGGGCAGCAAGUUUGGAAUGGAGUGGAUAGGGGGCUGAUCUCUAGGAAUCUAUGGAGAUAUUUAAUAGAAGAAGGUGUUCUAAGGAGUGAGAUAGAUGUGCAUCCACCAAGGAUAUUGCUUAAUAUAUAUAAUCAAAAGAGACCAGGAAUAGAUGAGCAGAAGCCUAUGAUCAGCUGCCUCAAUGGAAAGUCAUGAUCCCUUGCCCAUUUUUCAAGCCUGAGCCAAUUUUCAAACCCACCAGAGAACGUCUCCAUUGUCUGAAAAAGAGGCUAGAUCCACAUGAAGAAGGACCCUGCAACACCGUGGCAAGUGUAUAUAGUACUCAUUCUCCCAGUUCUUCCCCAAAGGGUCUUAUGGCUGUGCACUAGGGUAGCCAUGCACUAGAGACAGGGGAAUACAUGGCUCUUUUAAGGACUAUUAGAUACAGAGUCUGAGUUGAUGUUAAUAUCCAGAGACCCAAAGCACCUUCUGACACCCUUGUUAGAGUAGGAGUAUGUGAGGGUCAAGGUAUUAAUAGAGACCUAGCCAGGCAUACAUGUCUACUCAUCCACAGAUCUACACAGAGAUCAUUUCCCCAGUGUUUGAAAGUAUAAUUGGAACACACAUUAGGAUUUUACAGAACCUUCAUAUUAGUUCCUUGACUUGUAGAAUAAGAGUUAUUGUACUAGGAAAGGCAAGUAGAAGUCCCUGAAACUACACCCCCUCACCUCUCAGCCAAGACUGUAAAUCAAAAACAAUAUUACAUCUCAGGAGUGGAGUGGCAGAGUUUAGUGUCACCCUCAAGAAUUCAAAGGAUGCAGGGGGGAUGGGUCUCAUUAUAUCCUCCAUUUAAUUCAUCAUUCUGGCCGAACUAAACCAGGUGAAUUGUCUUUUUUCUCUGCAUAUGACCUUGAUUUUUAAUAAUAAAAUAAAGGCUCUCGUGUAUGAAUAAACUUCAAAUGCUCCUACUUUACCCCCUCAAUGACAUUUCUGCAUUCCUUCUCUAGUCUUCAACAAAGGAGCACCUCUUUUCUCCUCAAAUAACACCCUCCCAUUUAGAUUUUAUCUGACCUUCAACUUAUUCCAUCAAAUUAUUCUCCUUUCUUUUAACUUCAUCUUUUCCCUUGAGUUGUUCUCAAUCCUCAGUAUAUAAAGAUGCUUCAGUUAGUCCGAAGUUAAAAAUGAAUUUACCAUUCUACUAGUAAUGGACAUUUGGAUUGUUUCCAUUUGGGAAUCUGCUAUGAACUUUCCGUUUAUGUGUUGUUCUGUAUACAUGUACAGAAUAAUCUCUAAGUCAGUGGUUCUCAAAUUUAGUUUUCAUCAGAAUCAUCUAGAGGACAUGUUAAAGCAGAUUUCUGGGCCCCAUUUCCCAAGUUUUUGAUUCAGUAGAUCUGAUUAGGGCCCAAGAAUUUGCAUUGCUAACAUGUUCCCAGGUGCUGCUGAUGCUGCUUUAUCCAGGGACCCUACUUUGAAAACCACUUCUAUACAUCCAGUAGUGGAACUGCUUGAACAUAGGGUAUGGAUAGCCUCAAUUUAGAUAAUACCAAACUGUUUUCCAAAGUGGCUGUACAAUUUACAGUACAUUUCCACCAAAAAUUAGAAUUCCUCACCAAUAUGUUGUAUUAUAAAACUUUUGAUAGUUUGCUAAUAAUGGUGGGCAUAUAGUGGUAUCUCAUUGUUCUGAUUAACAUAUCUCUGUUUACUAAUUAUGUUAAAAACACUUUUUAAUGUUUAUUAUCCAUUUGGAUUUCCUCUAUUGUGUAUUGCAUAAUCAAAUGAUUUAUUUUUCUAUUGGAUUUUCUACCUUUUUAAAAAACCAAAUUGUAGGGCUUCCCUGGUGGCGCAGUGGUUGAGAGUCCGCCUGCCGAUGCAGGGGACACGGGUUCAUGCCCCGGUCCGGGAAGAUCCCACAUGCCACGGAGCGGCUGGGCCCGUGAGCCAUGGCCGCUGAGCCUGCGCAUCCGGAGCCUGUGCUCCGUAACGGGAGAGGCCACAACAGUGAGAGGCCCGCAUACUGCCAAAAAAAAAAAAAAAAAAUUAAAUUGUAAAAGUUCUUUAUAUAUUUGGAAACAAAUUUUUUAUUGUUGUUAUUGAUUGGUUACAUAGGCUGCAAAUAUCUUCUCCCAGUCUAUGGCUUGUAUUUUUAUUUUUUAAUGGUAUAUUUUGUUAAGCAGAAGUGCUUUCUUUUAAUGUAAUUAAUGUACUAAUCUUUGCUUUAAAAAAAAUACAUGAUUGCUAAGUUUAAUUUAACUGCUCUACCCAAUCCUGCCUUAUGAAAAUAACAAAAUGUUCCUAUCAGAAUUACAUUGUGGGCUUCCCUGGUGGCACAGUGAUUAAGAAUCCACCUGCCAAUACAGGGGACAUGGGUUUGAGCCCUAGUCCAGGAAGAUCCCACAUCCCGCGGAGCAACAAAGCCCGUGUGCCACAACUACUGAAGCCCGUGCGCCUAGAGCCCAUGCUCUGUAACAAGAGAGGCCACUGCAAUGAGAAGCCCGCGCACUGCAACGAAGAGUAGCCCCCGCUGGCCGCAACUAGAGAAAGCCCACGCACAGCAACGAAGACCCAAUACAGCCAAAAAUAAAUAAAAUAAAUAAAUAAAAUUACAUUGCAAUGUUA